CCUACGGGUGGCAGCAGUGAGGAAUCUUCGUCAAUGGACGAGAGUCUGACCCAGCCACGUAGCGUGAAGGAUGACUGCCCUCUGGGUUGUAAACUUCUUUUAUAAAGGAAUAAAACGAGGCAAGUGAGCCUGUUUGCAUGGACUUUAUGAAUAAGGAUCGGCACACUCCGGGCCAGCAGCCGCGGUACUACGGAGGAUCCGAGCGUUAUCCGGACUUAUUGGGUUUAAAGGGAGCGUAGAUGGGUUGUUAAGUCAGUUGGGAAAGUUUGCGGCUCAACCGUAAAAUUGCAAUUGAGACUGGCAGUCUUGAGUACAGUUGAGGUAGGCGGAAUUCGUGGUGUAGCGGUGAAAUGCUUAGAGAUCACGAGGAACCCCGAUGGCGAAGGCAGCUUACUGGGCUGUGACUGACAUUGAUGCUCGAAAGUGUGGGUAUCAAACAGGAUUAGAUACCCCAGUAGUC
rnacentral:rRNA from 1 species